rnacentral:rRNA from 1 species
UACGGGGGGGGUAAGCGUUGUUCGGAAUUACUGGGCGUAAAGGGCUCGUAGGCGGCCAACUAAGUCAGACGUGAAAUCCCUCAGCUUAACUGGGGAACUGCGUCUGAUACUGGAUGGCUUGGAUUCGGGAGAGGAAUGCGGAAUUCCAGGUGUAGCGGUGAAAUGCGUAGAUAUCUGGAGGAAUACCGGUGGCGAAGGCGGCAUCCUGGACCGACAUUGACGCUGAGGAGCGAAAGCUAGGGGAGCAAACGGG